rnacentral:lncRNA from 1 species
UAGUGGGAGGUUUGUUGAACUUGAGAAAGUUUAAAACCUACAAUCUAUCCAAAAUUCACCAAAUAGUUCUCAACCAGAUGUGCCCAUUGUUGAGGCAUAAUUACUAUACAUACCUCCUCUCCGAAGAUCAAGUAGAGUACGUAGUGUAUCACUUAGGUAUGGAUUUGUCAUUGAGAAUGACAACACAAUCCACAUUAUUAAGAAUGAUGAUCCUACAACC